CAGUCGAGGGGCAGCGGGGAGGUAGCAAUACUUUCGCCGGCGACCGGCGCACGGGUGAGUAACACGUAUGGAACCUGCCCGUAGCAGGGGGAUAAGCGGAAGAAAUUCCGUCUAAUACCGCGUAAUAACUCCGAGAGGCAUCUCAUGGAGUUUAAAGGGUAACACCGGCUACGGAUGGCCAUGCGGCGCAUUAGCUAGUUGGCGGGGUAACGGCCCACCAAGGCGACGAUGCGUAGGGGUUCUGAGAGGAAGGUCCCCCACACUGGUACUGAGACACGGACCAGACUCCUACGGGAGGCAGCAGUGAGGAAUAUUGGUCAAUGGGCGCGAGCCUGAACCAGCCAAGUCGCGUGAGGGAAGACGGUCCUAUGGAUUGUAAACCUCUUUUGUCGGGGAGCAAAAGACGCCACGCGUGGCGUUCCGAGAGUACCCGAAGAAAAAGCAUCGGCUAACUCCGUGCCAGCAGCCGCGGUAAUACGGAGGAUGCGAGCGUUAUCCGGAUUUAUUGGGUUUAAAGGGUGCGCAGGCGGAAGAUCAAGUCAGCGGUAAAAUUGAGAGGCUCAACCUCUUCGAGCCGUUGAAACUGGUUUUCUUGAGUGAGCGAGAAGUAUGCGGAAUGCGUGGUGUAGCGGUGAAAUGCAUAGAUAUCACGCAGAACUCCGAUUGCGAAGGCAGCAUACCGGCGCUCAACUGACGCUCAUGCACGAAAGUGUGGGUAUCGAACAGGAUUAGAUACCCUGGUAGUCCACACAGUAAACGAUGAAUACUAAUUGUUCGGGGAGAAUGAUCCCUGAGUGAUACAGCGAAAGCGUUA
rnacentral:rRNA from 1 species